UUGUCCUAAUAGGAGACGUGAUUAAAGACACCAAUAUUAUCAUGCUCAUCUUACGUGAUAGAUGGCUUUUACAUCAGCUAUGCAAAAAUCAGGGGAAAAUGCAGGAGGGAGUUAAAAAAAUGAAGCCCCUGAACACCAAUGGAGCUAACUCAGGUCCUGGGUAAAUUGUUUAACCAGUAAUCCCUGUGUUGUGCUUUUGGUGCCCACAUGUUCAAGGAUGA